GACGAACGCUGGCGGCGUGCUUAACACAUGCAAGUCGAACGCUGAAGCUCAGCUUUUGUUGGGUGGAUGAGUGGCGAGCGGGUGAGUAACACGUGAGUAACCUGCCCCCUUCUUUGGGAUAACGCCCGGAAACGGGUGCUAAUACUGGAUAUUCACUGGUCUUCGCAUGGGGGUUGGUGGAAAGGGUUUUUCUGGUGGGGGAUGGGCUCGCGGCCUAUCAGCUUGUUGGUGGGGUGAUGGCCUACCAAGGCUUUGACGGGUAGCCGGCCUGAGAGGGUGACCGGUCACAUGGCGACUGAGGUACGGCCCAGACGCGUACGAGAGGCAGCAGUGGGGAGUAUUGCAGAAUGGGCGCAAGCCUGAUGCAGCGACGCCGCGUGAGGGAUGGAGGCCUUCGGGUUGUGAACCUCUUUCGCUCAUGGUCAAGCCGCAACAAUGGGUGUGGUGAGGGUAGUGGGUAAAGAAGCGCCGGCUAACUACGUG
rnacentral:rRNA from 1 species